CCUCUCUCCCUUGCUCGUUCCCCUCGCGCCACCACGCUCUCUCUCUCCAGAGCUCAGCAUCGUCGCGCCGACACCGUUCACCGUGGCCACCGAGAUCCUCUCGCAGCGGUAUCAAGUCCAGAAGGUCCGCCGUGCUCCACCUCAUCUCUCUGCGGAAGAACGUGAGCCGGGAAGCGCUGGUUCGUCGCCAGCGUCAUCGUCUUGAAUCUUCGGAGCCGACCACAGCCGCCUUUAAUUCGCCGCAACCAAGGCAUCCCCGUGCUUGCCGUCCACUCCAGGAGCCGUGCCUCCUCCAUCUGCAUCGAGUACGCCAACGGGUCGGCCGGGAUCGCCACUGCAUUGACGCCAUGAUCCUCUUCUUCAACCUCGGUCGUCGGCGCGCCAUCGCCCAACUACUCUGCUCCGACCACUCCGGCCUUCCCCGAGCACGCCUAUGGCUCCGCGGAGCCAGACGACACCACUAAUGACUACUACGACCCCGAGGGUGUCUACUACUAUGUCAUGGCCACUGACGACCUGGAGUAGUUAGGAGGCUCCCAGGCAGGAGGCCUUGCCUUUUCGAUCGUUGUUGCUUUUGUGCUAGCCUUCUUAAGACAGACUUGUUUAACUUAUGUCUGUAUUCAGAUAUUGUUGCUUCCGAUGA